ACGCGGUAAACGAUGAAUGCUAGGUGUAAGGGGUAUCGACCCCUCUUGUGCCGCAGUUAACACAAUAAGCAUUCCGCCUGGGGAGUACGGCCGCAAGGUUGAAACUCAAAGGAAUUGACGGGGGCCCGCACAAGCAGCGGAGCAUGUGGUUUAAUUCGAAGCAACGCGAAGAACCUUACCAGGUCUUGACAUCGAGGUAAAGCUGUAGAGAUACAGUGUCUCUUCGGAGGACCGAAGACAGGUGGUGCAUGGUUGUCGUCAGCUCGUGUCGUGAGAUGUUGGGUUAAGUCCCGCAACGAGCGCAACCCUUAUAUUCAGUUACUAACGGGUAGUGCUGAGGACUCUGAAUAGACUGCCGGGGACAACUCGGAGGAAGGUGGGGACGACGUCAAAUCAUCAUGCCCCUUAUGACCUGGGCUACACACGUGCUACAAUGGUGUUGAACAAAGAGGAGCGAGCCUGUGAAGGUAAGCGGAUCUCAAAAAAGACAUCUCAGUUCGGACUGUGGGCUGCAACCCGCCCACACGAAGUUGGAGUUGCUAGUAAUCGCGGAUCAGAAUGCCGCGGUGAAUACGUUCCCGGGCCUUGUACACACCGCCCGUCACACCAUGGGAGUUGGGAGUACCCGAAGUCGGUGAGCCAACGCAAGGAGCAGCCGCCGAAGGUAAGACCGAUGACUGGGGUG
rnacentral:rRNA from 1 species